ensembl:lncRNA
AUAUUUAUAAAAAUAAAUAAAAUAGUACAUCAUCUACAUAAUAUGCUUAAGUUUGUGGAAGAUAAACACGCUAAUACGAACCUAUCGAUAAAUGAGUUGGAAAAAGUAAAACGGGAUGAGUCUUUUUGUAUUCAUACUGAAGACAAUGGCGAUCGUAACACUAACAACAUUAAAGAUAACAACAAUAAUAAAAGUAGUAAAAUCGAAUGCAAAACAAGCGAUGUAUCAUUAUAUCCGGAAAACCAACCUGUUAACAAGCUCGUAAUGCAUGACUAUAAAAAUGGAGUGCAUAUAAAGAAUUUAAAUAAUCAACACGUUUAUAAAAAAGGAAGUGAAAAUGGUUGUGACGUAAUUUGUACUAAUAAAGACGAUAUCCGAGUUGAAAGUAACAAUUGCGACACACGAGGAUACAAUCAUAUAUAUUAUGACUCAGUAUAUAUGUCAGAUACAAAUGUAUAUAACUUAGUAUCAAAAUCUUGUAUUAGUACACUUUAUAUAAGCAAACUCAACUCCAAUACAAAUAUAAUAGAUUGUGAUUUUACUUUUUCUAAUUUAAAUAACAUGAAUAAAAUAAAUACAAAUCUAGCUAAAGAGAUUUUAAUUUAUCGUAAAUUAAUAAAAAAAAUAAAAAAUUAUAAAAAAAAGAUAAUUAAUAUAUUUAUAGACUUUUAUAGUUAUGCUAUUGUUUAUUUAUAUAAAAAUAGGUUUUCUUUAAUUAUUGAAAUUUUUUUUUCUUAUUAUAUUAUGAUAAUAGAAAAAAUACAUUUAAAAAUUGUAAAUCAAAUUAAAAGUAAGACAUGCUUAGUUAGUAAUCCGAAGUUAGAGAAUUUUAUUAUUUUUUCCAAACAUAGUAGCUUAUCAUUGCGUCGACCUAAAAUCGUGAAUAAAAGUUAUAUAAAAAAAAACGAUACUAACAGGGAUUAUAAAUUCGUAUUCAAACAACAUAUUAAUAGAUCAAAUAAAAAUUUAUAUAGUAAAAGAAAAAAAAAACGUCUCUUUAGUUCUUUUUCAUUAUAUACUAAUAGUAAAAAAACAAAACAGACAACAACAACAACAACAACAUACGAUAAUUGGUGUAAUACACAAGAAUAUGAUGUACAUAAAAUAUAUGUUAAAAGAUCAAGUUAUAUUUACAGUAUAGAAAGCCACAGAAAUAACAUAUGCAUAAAUAGUUUAGAUAAAGAAGAGUUUGAGAAUAACAACAAGAAGCUGUUUUAUUCGCAUAUAUAUAAACUGGUUUAUUCGGUAAGGAGCAGCCUAUUGGAAAAAAAAAAAAAUAAAAGGUUAUUUGGUGGGCUCAUAAGAAAAGAAAGGACAAUAGAAGAGAUAAAUAGAGGAGUUUCAAAGGUAAGCCCAAUCUCAGACGCCGAAGUAAAAACUGUAGCGGGAGGAGUUUCAGGAAUAGGGGCAGGACCUGUCACUGUAGUAGUAGACAACCUAGUUGCCAAAAGUGGUAAAGAACUAACCGAACAUGCCAACGUGGAAAAAGAAAAAAAAAAAAUUUGUAUUUUUUUAAGCAAUCCCAAUGAUAUAGCAAACAUAAUUUUUCACGCUUUAAUAUCAAAGGAGUAUAAAUCUAAAUUACGAAAAAUUUAUGAAAGUGAAAAAGAAAAGGUGGGAGGAGAAAGAGGAAAAAUAGAAAAUAAGAAAAACACAUUUAAUCAAGGAGAAAAUAGAAACGCAUUUAAUUAUGGAGAAAAUAUAAAUGCAUUUAAUUAUGUAAAAAAUAAAAACGCGGUCACGGUCACAAAAAAAAAGGAACUUCCCAAACUUCAUUAUAAUAAACAAAAUAAUAAAAUUCUUAAAGAGUAUGAUAUAAAUAUUAGAAAAUUUACAGAAAAUAGUGUAAAAAAACUAACGAAUAAUUUUUUAGAAAGUGAUUUACUUACUACAUUCAUACAUUGUAAUAACAACGAUGUUAUAAAUGUGACAUUAAAUGAUGAUGUUUGUGUUUAUAUAUAUUUUCCGUUACAGUUUUAUUAUUUAAGACAAUGUUUACUCUAUAAAACAAACAUAUAUUCAAAUGAAAAAAAUAGAGUUGGGACAUGUACAUUUAAAGCAUGUGAGCCUGAGUUAAUACAAAGUGAAGUGUUUUUUUUAAAAUCGUUGAUAAAAAGUAAUUACAUACACUUUGAUAAUAAAAGAAGACAUUUUGUUAAAACUUAUGAUCAUAAAUUUAUGAUAAAGGAGAUAAAUAGUUAUGAGUAUAAAUCAUUUGUUAAUAAAUACAAAGAUUUUUUUCAAUACUUUUCAAACAUAUUUUUGAAAAAUAAAAAAUCAUUAUUAUGUUAUAUGUUUGGUUUGUUUCAAAUUGAAAUAAAAAAAAAGAAUAAAGUGAACACAAUUAAAACGUAUAUUAUUUUGGAAAAUGUCAAAAUCGAAAAAAAAAAUUCAAAGAUUUUAAUUUUCGAUAUAAAAGGUGCAAGAAAAAAAAAAAACUUACAAAAGUUGAUUAACCAAAAUAAGAGCACUUUUACUUUUUUUGAAAAAGGUGAUAAGCAUUCGUUAAAAUCAGAAAAAACAAACAAAACAGCUAACAAAACAGCAAACAUAGUAAAUGUUUCAAGAUCGGAAAAUGUAAAUGGAAAAAAAAAAAAAAAAAAAAAAAAAGACUUAUUAAAUCAUCACGGAUCUGUUGUACCAUUAAAUUUUAAACAGUUUAAAGAAAGCGCUCGAAUGGUGAAUGGUGAAUAUAAUCUUAAGAAAGUUUUGUGUGGAAGUAUACUGAGUUUGAACGUUAAGGAUAGUCGGGAGGGUUAUGAUGCCAUGUUGUAUGAGUCCAAGUUGGAUAAGAGUUGUGGUGAUGAAUUAGAUGAUAUGUUAGCGUAUUAUGAAAAUGUGGAUGACACUAACAAAUUUGAUGCUGCUUACAAAUUUGAUGUUGCUUACAAAUUUGAAGAGGCUUAUAAUUUUGACGAAAAUAUAACUAAUAAAAACGACACGGGAAGUACGAGCGACAAACUAAUACCAAGAAAGAACGGUGUAGAUAAAACAACUGAUGGUGAGCACAACGAAAAACAUAAUGACAAACAUAAUGACAAACAUAAUGAUAAAAGUAAUGAUAAAAAUAAUGAUAAAAAUAAUGAUAAAAAUAAUAAUUAUGAUCGAAUGAGCGAUUAUUGUGUUGGAAAAGUAAAACGUGAAAAUAAAAAAAUGAAAACGAUAAAUAAGGGACAGUCUAAUAUAGUUAAGUAUAAUAAUAAGUAUAGCGCCAGUAGUAGUAAUAAUAAUUAUAAUAUGUACGUAAUAAAAAACUUGUAUAAAAAUGUAAAAAAACAAAUGCUAUACGGAUUACUUUAUAAUGAUAACAGACUAAGAAAUAAAUAUCUUAUUGUAAAAAAAAAAAAAAAAAAAAAAAUAAAACAUAUGUAUUAUUAAACAGAGAACAAAACAUGGAAGCAUUAGUAAUGAAAAGUGGAAGAAAAGACGAAGACGGACAGGAAAGGCAGGACAUACAAUAUACCUUACACGGACAAGACGGGAAAGAAAGAAAAAAUAAAACGAGGACCAAACGAAUGGUACA